CCUACGGGGGGCAGCAGUGGGGAAUAUUGGGCAAUGGGCGCAAGCCUGACCCAGCAACGCCGCGUGAAGGAAGAAGGCUUUCGGGUUGUAAACUUCUUUUCUGAGGGACGAAGAAAGUGACGGUACCUCAGGACUAAGCCACGGCUAACUACGUGCCAGCAGCCGCUGUAAUACGUCGGUGGCAAUCGUUAUCCUGCUUUAUUGGGUGUAAAGGUCGUGUAGGCGGGAAAGCAAGUCAGAUGGGAAAACUCAGGGCUCAAACCUGUGCCUGCAUUUGAAACUGUUUUUCUUGAGUGCUGGAGAGGCAAUCGGAAUUCCGUGUGUAGCGGUGAAAUGCGUAGAUAUAAGGAGGAACACCAGUGGCGAAGGCGGAUUGCUGGACAGUAACUGACGCUGAGGCGCGAAAGCGUGGGGAGCAAACAGGAUUAGAUACCCGUGUAGUC
rnacentral:rRNA from 1 species